GUGGGGCUUUGUACAGACAUUUUGAGAUUAGAUCAGGGUUGAGGCCACCAUCUACCACUUCCUGCCUUGUGACGAUUUAAACCCCCAAUGUGCAAAGACCCCACAUUCCGCUCUGGUCCAGAAGAGAAGGCUCUCUGAAGAUUCACCAUGAAGAUCCAGCUCCUGUUGUGUUUCUUAGUAAUCCUCCCGUGUGUCCCUGGCAUGAGCAUAGACAAGGGGAGAAGACCAAAGCCUGACCAAGACGUCACUGAAAGAUACAAGAAGUUCCUCGAGCAACAUUUAGGUGGUAAAAUGGUUAUAAAAGAUUGUGAUAAAGUAAUGAAUCAGAG